AGACCUUAACCUGCUAAAUAGUCAGGCUGGCUUUUGCUGGUCGCAGACUUCUUAGAGGGACUGUCAGUGUCUAACUGACGGAAGUUUGAGGCAAUAACAGGUCUGUUAUGCCCUUAGAUGUUCUGGGCCGCACGCGCGAUACUCUGACAGAGCCAGCGAGUAUCUCCUUGGCCGGAAGGUCUGGGUAAUCUUGUGAAACUCU
rnacentral:rRNA from 1 species